GGGGCUGUGGCUCAGUGGCAGAGCGCUUGCCUAGCAUGUGUGAAGCACUGGGUUCAAUCCUCAGCCCCA
rnacentral:tRNA from 1 species